ACGGACAGACAGACGGACAGACGGACGGACAGACAGACAUCCGGAUUUCGACUCUACUCGUCGCCCUGAUCACUUUGGUAUAUAUAACCCUAUAUCUGACUCUUUUAGUUUUAGGACUUACAAACAACCGUUAUGUGAACGAAACUAUAAUACUCUCGUUAGCAACAUUGUUGCGAGAGUAUAAAAAAGAAAGAUUAAUAGUAUAAAAUGGUAAUAAUAUCUUUGAAAAAGAUUAAUAUUAUCUGGAAGAAUAGAAUAUAUUAAAUACAAAUAGAAUUUACUCAGAAAGCAAAAAUUAAUUAAAUAAAAAUAGUGAUAAAAUCUGAAAAUAAGGAAUAAUUAAAUAAAAAUCAGAAUAAUAUCUAAAAUAAAAGAAUAAUAUUAUCUGAUUAUUUAAAAUAUAAAGCAAACAUUUGUUUUCACAUAUUAUUUUGGAUUGUGCAGGCCGCCUUAAACGCAUAAAAUAUAUAUGUACAUAUACAUACGUAUGUACAUAUGUAUUUAUUUUUGCGCAGUCCAAUUUCAAAGUACACACACUUUUUUCACAUACUUACUUAACAAUUGAUAUUUGCCGCUUCUGAUGAUAUACUAUGUACAUAACUGCUGCUGCUACUUCCAAUUCAGUUCUGAUUUCCAAAGCUAUAAAAAUAAAUGAACUAAUUAUUUUCAAAAUAUUGUUAAAAAAACGCAUAAAAUUCAUUUACUUAUCUUCUUGUUGUAUGAGCCUCCUUUACGAUGGUACGAUCACGGACGACAUGCGUCUUUCAUUCGUUUUUUUUAUUACCCUUUUUGGGAUUUUCUAUUGUCACUAUUGACAAUAAUAAAAAAAUAACUGAAAAUGUGCGUUGGUGUUAGUGCAUAGAGAAAAAAUAUCCCUAGAAGAAACUGCUGAUCGUUUCACUAAUACACGCACAUUUUUUAUGUCAGAGCUGACGAAAAAAUUACACUCAAAUGACUGUCAAUGCUUAUGUUAAAAAGAGAAAUCUAUGAAUGAUAUUGCUUAUAUGUAUAUGUAAGAAUGAAAUAGCUUAAUUAUUCAACACUGUCAUCAUUGACAGUAAAAUGAAAUUUAAAAUUACUGUCAAUGUUGAUUUUUUUUAAAUAAACACUUUUCAACACUAAACAUCGUUUAUCAACACUGAUCUGUAUGCAGAAAAGCAACCCUGUAAAAAGAGAAACAUACAACUCCAUAUAUGUAUGUACGUUUAUAAAAUGUUGCGCAAAAAAAUGUUUACUGUUAUUCUUGCCACAAACGAGAAGUGUUGCGCGUUAAUUCAGUGAAUUCUAAAUCGAAUUAUUAUAUUUCGUGCGUUGUUUAAGUGAUUUAUGUUUUGUGAUUAAAUCUACAGUUUACUAUAUUAUCAAGAAAAGAUAAGUAAAAAUUAAAAAAAACGACAUUUCAAAAUCAUUUAAGUAAAGAAAAAAGGAUUUUCAAAUCCAAAAUAAUAAAAUAUAAAAAUUUGGUGGAAUGUGCGGGGAAGUUAAAUAGUGCGCAGAAUAGUGAACUCAUAAAUACGAUGAAAUAUGUUGCAAAAGAAAAUGACGAAAAAAGUGAUGUUGUGUCUUUCACGAUUUUUCGCAACAACCCGCACAUUCUGCUUAAAUGAUUUUAAUAACAUAAAUUUAAUAAAAAUUUUAAUUUUACAUGAGCUCUACAAGCAAUAUGUUUGGCGAAUCAAUCUUUGAAAGCCAAGAAGAAAAUGGUAAGAAAACAGAAAUAUAAGGCAGUCGUAUUCCAUUAAUAAUAUUUAAAUAUAUAUAUCAGAUCAUCAGAUAUUGAUCCCAAGGAAGUUAUAUAGUAUAAAAGACAACGUAUCAACAACCUCAACCCCUUCACAAGAUAAGGAGAAUGUAUCAACUCAAGAAUUAAAUACGAUGGCCAUUCUAAACGAAAUUCUGGGAAAGCAGAGGGAAAUAUUGGAUAAGAUACAUACUUUAGAAUCAAAUCAACAGAUAUUAUUCGAUACAUUAGGUUCACUAAAUAAUGGACAAGUGUUGAUAACAGGAAAUCAGAAACAAAUUACGGACAAAUUGGAAACAGUGGAACAAAAAUCUAUAGAUAGAUCGGAAAUGCUAGCACAGAGUUCCCUGAUUAGGGAAUGUAAAGUUCAUUUAAAAAAAUUGAGCGAUCGGUGGGCCUCAUGACCGGAGAGGAAAAAGACGAGGCUCUCGACCAGGUAGCAAGCCUUUUACCUAUUCAAAACUUUGAGGGAUGUUUGGAAGUGGAAGAAAUUCUAGAGAAACCUGAGUUCGCACAAUCUAUGAUCAGUUAUGUCCACAAACUUAAAAGGACCUACUAGAGUAUUUCAAUUUUGAUGGAAGAAGAGAAAAUUAGCAUUAUGUAAGCUAAAAAUCUUCGAAGAAGUUUUAAGAGUCGUUUACCUGCCACAAGGAUCUUUCAAUUUGGAAAAGAGUAUACGGAGGUCUAUUGAACGGGGUCACCACCGAAAUAACCAAAAAAAAAUAUAUUAAUAGGAAAAGAAACAAUUAAUAUAAUUUUUCAAUAAUUUAGUUUUAUUUUAUUACUAUUAUGAUUUUGAAACAUGAAUUAUAUGAAUUAAAAUUAACGAAUUAUUGUGAUUUAAUAAUAAGAUAUGUAAAUAUGUAAAUUUUGAAACAUGA